rnacentral:lncRNA from 1 species
GAAUAUAUUUAUGUUGAAAGUCUUGAAAGUGGGUAGAGAAGAAGGUACCUUAAAACAAUGGGGAAAAGUCACAAAGCCUUUGGACAAGCCAUCUGGGCCCAGCGCCUGAAAAAAUUCGCACAACAAAAAUGCUGGACGCCGGACAUGGGCAGCAGGCCCGGUCCGAGACAGCCAAGGGCUGUCCUUGACCUGUAUAACAAGGUCCAAAGAUGCCCACGGCAGUGCGGCAGCCAGCAGCCGCUGACCUUCCGGGGGGUGGCUGCGCUGCAAAGAGGCUGUAACUGUGGACUGCACAGUAGCCCCAGUCAUCAUGCACCAUUCUUGCAUCCUCACUAGAAUGUCAGCUGUGACUGGGUGGUCCUAUUUGAUGCUUCUAAUCACUAUUUCUGACUAAUUUAUUUGCUUGGUGUUGGACAUGUCGCUGUUUUGCUGUUUUUUUUGGGGGGGUGGUGGAUGGCCUGGACAAUAGCACAGUAUAGUAUUUUGAGUACAUCUGUGGUGUCCUGGGCUGAGAGUUGUACCUAUUACUUGUAAAGGUGUGCUGUGUUGUUGCACAGGUCCCCAGGCUUAGUGCUGGUGCUUGCGAGCUAACACAACAGUGCAAUGGUGUGGUGGCUGGUUAACUUAUGUUCACAAGUUUGUUUUAUCCCAUUUAUUGUUAACCUCACUGCUUUUCAUGACAUUUUUCUUUCCUUGGUUUUGCAAAUGCUUUGCUUGGGCUGCAUACUUAGAGCAUGAUGGUCAUGAUGGUGGCUGAAUUCAGUACGCUGAGCUGCAUCCAACCCAUGCUCUAGGACCCCCAUGACAGGGCUGGGAUCCAGCGGAUCCGGCAAUAUGUUGAGUCCGGCCGUCUGGCGGAGCUGAGGCAGCGCCCCAACAUCCAGCCCAAUCUGCAGCUUGAGCGGCAUGCUGCAGGCCAGGGACUACAGCCAGCGACCUCCACUUCCAUGCCUUCCUGAUCGAGGGUCUGGUUAGAUGGAACGCGGAUCGUCACCUGGCGGCGAUCGGACAGGACAGCGCCCGCGAGGUCCGGUGCUACGGACGAGUACAGGGUGCUACGACGGCCGGAUACGGGCAGCCGUCAACGACCUGUCGCAGAGGGUGCUCAAGAGGGACCUAGUCACCAGAAGCGAGCCUCUUCGAUACACGGGUGAGCUCGUCGGGGUCGCCUACCUGUACGGACAGACUCGUACGUACGUACGUAGACUGUAGGCUCGACGAGUACAGGGUGGGUGACCCCGACACGCAGCACGGCGAGGAUGACGAUGUUGGCGAUGAACUCGACGAGGGAUUCGAGGACGUCGAGGACAUCUUCGUGACCGACGCGUACGAUGGUCUCGAAAUGCCACUUCAGACGCCUCUCCCGGCCGCUCCCGUCGGAGUCCCCAGCCUCGCCGCCGCCGGACCUCAGGGACCCGCUACCGCCCGAGUCCCCAGCUCCGCCGACGCUGGGCCUCAGAGUCCCGCCGACGCUGGGCCUCAGAAUCCCGCCGCCGGACCUCAGAGUCCCGCCGCCGCUGCAGCUCCGGGCUCCGCCGCCGCUGCAGCCGCAGCCGCCGUCGCUGGAGCUCCGGGCCCGGCCGCCGCUGCAGCUCCGGGGCCCGC